rnacentral:tRNA from 2 species
CAAUGAACUUAAGAUUUAUUAAUAAGAUAUUUACUAAAUCUUUUUUAGAA